rnacentral:rRNA from 1 species
UUUGAUCAUGGCUCAGAUUGAACGCUGGCGGCAGGCCUAACACAUGCAAGUCGAACGGUAGCACAGAGAGCUUGCUCUCGGGUGACGAGUGGCGGACGGGUGAGUAAUGUCUGGGAAACUGCCUGAUGGAGGGGGAUAACUACUGGAAACGGUAGCUAAUACCGCAUAACGUCGCAAGACCAAAGAGGGGGACCUUCGGGCCUCUUGCCAUCAGAUGUGCCCAGAUGGGAUUAGCUAGUAGGUGGGGUAAUGGCUCACCUAGGCGACGAUCCCUAGCUGGUCUGAGAGGAUGACCAGCCACACUGGAACUGAGACACGGUCCAGACUCCUACGGGAGGCAGCAGUGGGGAAUAUUGCACAAUGGGCGCAAGCCUGAUGCAGCCAUGCCGCGUGUAUGAAGAAGGCCUUCGGGUUGUAAAGUACUUUCAGCGGGGAGGAAGGUGUUGUGGUUAAUAACCACAGCAAUUGACGUUACCCGCAGAAGAAGCACCGGCUAACUCCGUGCCAGCAGCCGCGGUAAUACGGAGGGUGCAAGCGUUAAUCGGAAUUACUGGGCGUAAAGCGCACGCAGGCGGUCUGUCAAGUCGGAUGUGAAAUCCCCGGGCUCAACCUGGGAACUGCAUUCGAAACUGGCAGGCUAGAGUCUUGUAGAGGGGGGUAGAAUUCCAGGUGUAGCGGUGAAAUGCGUAGAGAUCUGGAGGAAUACCGGUGGCGAAGGCGGCCCCCUGGACAAAGACUGACGCUCA